UACGUAGGGUGCGAGCGUUAAUCGGAAUUACUGGGCGUAAAGCGUGCGCAGGCGGUUCGCUGUGUCCGAUGUGAAAGCCCCGGGCUUAACCUGGGAAUGGCAUUGGAAACUGGCGGGCUUGAGUGCGGCAGAUGGGGGUGGAAUUCCGCGUGUAGCAGUGAAAUGCGUAGAGAUGCGGAGGAACACCGAUGGCGAAGGCAGCCCCCUGGGUCGACACUGACGCUCAGGCACGAAAGCGUGGGGAGCAAACAGG
rnacentral:rRNA from 1 species